GGACAGCCUUCUGAAAGGAAGAUUAAUACAAGAUGGCAUCAUGAGUCCGCAUGUUCACAUGAUUAAAGGUAUUCCGGUAGACGAUGGGGAUGCGUUCCAUUAGAUAGUAGGCGGGGUAACGGCCCACCUAGUCUUCGAUGGAUAGGGGUUCUGAGAGGAAGGUCCCCCACAUUGGAACUGAGACACGGUCCAAACUCCUACGGGAGGCAGCAGUGAGGAAUAUUGGUCAAUGGGCGAGAGCCUGAACCAGCCAAGUAGCGUGAAGGAUGACUGCCCUAUGGGUUGUAAACUUCUUUUAUAAAGGAAUAAAGUCGGGUAUGCAUACCCGUUUGCAUGUACUUUAUGAAUAAGGAUCGGCUAACUCCGUGCCAGCAGCCGCGGUAAUACGGAGGAUCCGAGCGUUAUCCGGAUUUAUUGGGUUUAAAGGGAGCGUAGAUGGAUGUUUAAGUCAGUUGUGAAAGUUUGCGGCUCAACCGUAAAAUUGCAGUUGAUACUGGAUAUCUUGAGUGCAGUUGAGGCAGGCGGAAUUCGUGGUGUAGCGGUGAAAUGCUUAGAUAUCACGAAGAACUCCGAUUGCGAAGGCAGCCUGCUAAGCUGCAACUGACAUUGAGGCUCGAAAGUGUGGGUAUCAAACAGGAUUAGAUACCCUGGUAGUCCACACGGUAAACGAUGAAUACUCGCUGUUUGCGAUAUACUGCAAGCGGCCAAG
rnacentral:rRNA from 1 species